rnacentral:rRNA from 1 species
CCUACGGGGAGCAGCAGUGGGGAAUAUUGGACAAUGGGGGGAACCCUGAUCCAGCGACGCCGCGUGAGUGAAGAAGUAUUUCGGUAUGUAAAGCUCUAUCAGCAGGGAAGAAAGAAAUGACGGUACCUGACUAAGAAGCCCCGGCUAACUACGUGCCAGCAGCCGCGGGAAGACGUAGGGGGCAAGCGUUAUCCGGAUUUACUGGGUGUAAAGGGAGCGUAGACGGUUACGCAAGUCUGGAGUGAAAGGCGGGGGCCCAACCCCCGGACUGCUUUGGAAACUGUAUAACUGGAGUGCAGGAGAGGUAAGUGGAAUUCCUGGUGUAGCGGUGAAAUGCGUAGAUAUUAGGAGGAACACCAGUGGCGAAGGCGGCUUACUGGACUGUAACUGACGUUGAGGCUCGAAAGCGUGGGGAGCAAACAGGAUUAGAUACCCCAGUAGUC